GACGAACGCUGGCGGCGUGCUUAACACAUGCAAGUCGAACGGAAAGGCCCUGCUUUUGUGGGGUGCUCGAGUGGCGAACGGGUGAGUAACACGUGAGUAACCUGCCCUUGACUUUGGGAUAACUUCAGGAAACUGGGGCUAAUACCGGAUAGGAGCUCCUGCUGCAUGGUGGGGGUUGGAAAGUUUCGGCGGUUGGGGAUGGACUCGCGGCUUAUCAGCUUGUUGGUGGGGUAGUGGCUUACCAAGGCUUUGACGGGUAGCCGGCCUGAGAGGGUGACCGGCUACAUUGGGACUGAGAUACGGCCCAGACUCCUACGGGAGGCAGCAGUGGGGAAUAUUGCACAAUGGGCGGAAGCCUGAUGCAGCAACGCCGCGUGCGGGAUGACGGCCUUCGGGUUGUAAACCGCUUUCGCCUGUGACGAAGCGUGAGUGACGGUAAUGGGUAAAGAAGCACCGGCUAACUACGUGCCAGCAGCCGCGGUGAUACGUAGGGUGCGAGCGUUGUCCGGAUUUAUUGGGCGUAAAGGGCUCGUAGGUGGUUGAUCGCGUCGGAAGUGUAAUCUUGGGGCUUAACCCUGAGCGUGCUUUCGAUACGGGUUGACUUGAGGAAGGUAGGGGAGAAUGGAAUUCCUGGUGGAGCGGUGGAAUGCGCAGAUAUCAGGAGGAACACCAGUGGCGAAGGCGGUUCUCUGGGCCUUUCCUGACGCUGAGGAGCGAAAGCGUGGGGAGCGAACAGGCUUAGAUACCCUGGUAGUCCACGCUGUAAACGGUGGGUACUAGGUGUGGGGUCCAUUCCACGGGUUCCGUGCCGUAGCUAACGCUUUAAGUACCCCGCCUGGGGAGUACGGCCGCAAGGCUAAAACUCAAAGGAAUUGACGGGGCCCCGCACAAGCGGCGGAGCAUGCGGAUUAAUUCGAUGCAACGCGUAGAACCUUACCUGGGUUUGACAUGGAUCGGGAGUGCUCAGAGAUGGGUGUGCCUCUUUUGGGGUCGGUUCACAGGUGGUGCAUGGCUGUCGUCAGCUCGUGUCGUGAGAUGUUGGGUUAAGUCCCGCAACGAGCGCAACCCUUGUUCACUGUUGCCAGCACGUUAUGGUGGGGACUCAGUGGAGACCGCCGGGGUCAACUCGGAGGAAGGUGGGGAUGACGUCAAGUCAUCAUGCCCCUUAUGUCCAGGGCUUCACGCAUGCUACAAUGGCUGGUACAGAGAGUGGCGAGCCUGUGAGGGUGAGCGAAUCUCGGAAAGCCGGUCUCAGUUCGGAUUGGGGUCUGCAACUCGACCUCAUGAAGUCGGAGUCGCUAGUAAUCGCAGAUCAGCAACGCUGCGGUGAAUACGUUCCCGGGGCU
rnacentral:rRNA from 1 species